rnacentral:rRNA from 1 species
GAUGAACGCUGGCGGCGUGCCUAAUACAUGCAAGUCGAGCGAACGGACGCAAAGUUUGCUGCUCUGAUGUUAGGCGCACACGUGAGAGUAACACGUGGAAAACCCACCUAUCAGACUGGGAUAACUUCGGGAAACCGGCUCAAAUACCGGAUAAUAAUGUUAACGGCGUGGUUCAGAAGAGAAAGACGGGCUUGCGGUGACUUAGAGGUGUAUCCGCGCUGCAUUAGCUAGUUGGUAAGGUAACGGCUUACCAAGGCAACGGUGCAUAGCCGACCUGAGAGGGUGAGCGGCCACACUGGAACUGAGACACGGUCCAGACUCCUAAGGGAGGCAGCAGUAGGGAAUCUUCCGCAAUGGGCGAAAGUCUGACGGAGCAACGACGCGUGAGUGAUGAAGGUCUUCGGAUCGUAAAACUCUGUUAUUAGGGAAGAACAUAUGUGUAAGUAACUGUGCACAUCUUGACGGUACCUAAUCAGAAAGCCACGGCUAACUACGUG